rnacentral:rRNA from 1 species
AGAGUUUGAUCCUGGCUCAGAACGAACGCUGGCGGCAGGCCUAACACAUGCAAGUCGAACGUGAAGCCACCUUCGGGUGGUGGAAAGUGGCAGACGGGUGAGUAACGCGUGGGAACGUGCCCUUCGGUUCGGGAUAACCCAGGGAAACUUGGGCUAAUACCGGAUACGCCCUUCGGGGGAAAAAUUUAUUGCCGAAGGAUCGGCCCGCGUCGGAUUAGCUUGUUGGUGGGGUAAAAGCCUACCAAGGCGACGAUCCGUAGCUGGUCUGAGAGGAUGAUCAGCCACACUGGGACUGAGACACGGCCCAGACUCCUACGGGAGGCAGCAGUGGGGAAUAUUGGACAAUGGGCGAAAGCCUGAUCCAGCCAUGCCGCGUGGGUGAAGAAGGCCUUAGGGUUGUAAAUCCCUUUCAGCGGGGAAGAUAAUGACGGUACCCGCAGAAGAAGCCCCGGCUAACUCCGUGCCAGCAGCCGCGGUAAUACGGAGGGGGCUAGCGUUGUUCGGAAUUACUGGGCGUAAAGCGCGCGUAGGCGGACCUGCAAGUCGGGGGUGAAAGCCCGAGGCUCAACCUCGGAACUGCCUUCGAUACUGCGGGUCUUGAGUCCGGGAGAGGUGAGCGGAAUUCCUAGUGUAGAGGUGAAAUUCGUAG